GACGAACGCUGGCGGCGUGCCUAAUACAUGCAAGUAGAACGCUGAAGGAGGAGCUUGCUCUUCUGGAUGAGUUGCGAACGGGUGAGUAACGCGUAGGUAACCUGCCUGGUAGCGGGGGAUAACUAUUGGAAACGAUAGCUAAUACCGCAUAAGAGUAGAUGUUGCAUGACAUUUGCUUAAAAGGUGCAAUUGCAUCACUACCAGAUGGACCUGCGUUGUAUUAGCUAGUUGGUGAGGUAACGGCUCACCAAGGCAACGAUACAUAGCCGACCUGAGAGGGUGAUCGGCCACACUGGGACUGAGACACGGCCCAGACUCCUACGGGAGGCAGCAGUAGGGAAUCUUCGGCAAUGGACGGAAGUCUGACCGAGCAACGCCGCGUGAGUGAAGAAGGUUUUCGGAUCGUAAAGCUCUGUUGUAAGAGAAGAACGAGUGUGAGAGUGGAAAAGUUCACAACUGUGACGGU
rnacentral:rRNA from 1 species